rnacentral:rRNA from 1 species
CAAUAGCGUAUAUUAAAGUUGUUGCGGUUAAAAAGCUCGUAGUUGGAUUUCUGCCGAGGACGACCGGUCCGCCCUCUGGGUGUGUAUCUGGUUUGGCCUGGGCAUCUUCUUGGAGAACGUAGCUGCACUUGACUGUGUGGUGCGGUGUCCAGGACUUUUACUUUGAGGAAAUUAGAGUGUUUCAAGCAGGCACACGCCUUGAAUACAUUAGCAUGGAAUAAUAAGAUAGGACCUCGGUUCUAUUUUGUUGGUUUCUAGAGCUGAGGUAAUGAUUAAUAGGGAUAGUUGGGGGCAUUCGUAUUUAACUGUCAGGGGUGAAAUUCUUGGAUUUGUUAAAGACGGACUACUGCGAAAGCAUUUGCCAAGGAUGUUUUCAUUGA